rnacentral:rRNA from 1 species
GUCGAGGGGUAUAGGUUUUCGGACCUAGAGACCGGCGCACGGGUGCGUAACGCGUAUGCAAUCUACCUUUCACAAAGGGAUAGCCCAGAGAAAUUUGGAUUAAUACCUUAUAGUAAUACGACUUGGCAUCAAGAUGUAUUUAAAGAUUUAUCGGUGAAAGAUGAGCAUGCGUCCCAUUAGCUUGUUGGUAAGGUAACGGCUUACCAAGGCAACGAUGGGUAGGGGUCCUGAGAGGGAGAUCCCCCACACUGGUACUGAGACACGGACCAGACUCCUACGGGAGGCAGCAGUGAGGAAUAUUGGACAAUGGGCGCAAGCCUGAUCCAGCCAUGCCGCGUGCAGGAUGACGGUCCUAUGGAUUGUAAACUGCUUUUGUACAGGAAGAAACCCUUUCACGUGUGGAAGAUUGACGGUACUGUAAGAAUAAGGAUCGGCUAACUCCGUGCCAGCAGCCGCGGUAAUACGGAGGAUCCAAGCGUUAUCCGGAAUCAUUGGGUUUAAAGGGUCCGUAGGCGGUCAAGUAAGUCAGUGGUGAAAGCCCAUCGCUCAACGGUGGAACGGCCAUUGAUACUGCUUGACUUGAAUUAUUAGGAAGUAACUAGAAUAUGUAGUGUAGCGGUGAAAUGCUUAGAGAUUACAUGGAAUACCAAUUGCGAAGGCAGGUUACUACUAAUGGAUUGACGCUGAUGGACGAAAGCGUGGGUAGCGAACAGGAUUAGAUACCCUGGUAGUCCACGCCGU